GGGUCAUUAGGUUGGUCGUGCCACCGGUACGUACUGGUCUCACUGAUUCCUCCUUCCUGAAGAACCGUAAUACCAUUAAUUUGGUGUUGCGGGGAAACAGGACUGUUACUUUGAAAAAAUUAGAGUGUUUAAAGCAAGCUAACGCUUGAAUACAUUAGCAUGGAAUAAUGAAGUAGGACGAUCGAUCCUAUUUUGUUGGUUUCUAGGAUUGACGUA
rnacentral:rRNA from 1 species